GGAGUAAAGAGGUUUUAUUAAAAGGGAAGUAUAGAAAUGAGAAACAGUAGAAAGAGGAUGAAUAGAUAUUCUGGUAAAAAAAAAUAAAGAAAACUGAAGGAGAAUUAAGCUCUAGCUUCACACUAACAUUAACAGACAUACUGGACACACAGAGAGAAAGACAGAGUAACUGCACUGAUAUACAGAAACUGUGAUCUGAAUGGUCAGGUAGGUCAGUCUGACUGUAUUAUAUUAGAUAUUAAACACAGUAUAAAACAGUCAUUUAAAAAAAAAGUCACUUCAGUUUUAAUCAGCAGCACAUAUUACUGUAUCUAAACUGCAUGGUUGCAUUGGUUUGGCUUCAGAUAUAAACAUAAUUUUAACAUUCCUUAAAUAAACAAAUAAACAUGUGCAUUAAUGCAGCUAUUUAUUUCUCAAUACAGAAAACGGGGGUAUGCAUGGUCUGUACAGACUGCAGGGGGCGCUGGAGAGAAGCAACACAGCAGUAUGUAGAGGCUACGCUACAUACGUUGCAGAUGUUAGCUUCUUAUUAUUUAAGUUCCACCUUAAACAGUGUUGCAGUAUGGGACAUGACGCUUUUUAGUUCCACCUUAAACAGUGUUGCAGUAUGGGACAUGUUGCUUUUUAGUUCCACCUUAAACAGUGUUGCAUUAUGGGAAAUGUUGCUAAUGGUGCUUCUCAUUAUUUCAGUUCCACCUUAAACAGUGUCGCAGUAUGGAGCAUGUUGCUACUGACGUAUGAGUUAGGAAAAGCUGCAUGUGCCAACGCCCCGGUUGCCAAGUAUAAUACAGCAAUUGGCCCAAGCCACAUAUUCCAAUACCCCGGUUGCUGAGUAUAAUAUAGAAAUCGGCUGAAGCCACAUACACCAAUACCUCAGUUAGCUGAGUAUAAUAUGGCAAUUGGCCCAUACUGUGUUUGCCAAUACCCCGGUUGCCAAGUAUAAUAUGGCAAUUGACCCAAGCCACAUGUACCAAUACCUCAGUUUGCUAAGUAUAAUAUGGGAAUCUGCCCAAAUUGUAUGUGCCAACGGCCCGGUUGCCAAGCAUAAUAUGGCAAUUGGCCCAAGCCACAUAUACAAACACCUUAGUUUGCUGGGUAUAAUAUGAAAUCGGCCCGAACUGUAUGUGCCAUCGCCCAGGUUGCUGAGUAUAAUAUGGCAAUUGGCCCAAGCCACACAUUCCAAUACUGCAGUUUGCUGAGUAUAAUAUGGGAAUCUUUCCUAAAUCAUGUGUGCCAACACCCUGGCUGUUGAGUAUAUUACAGCAAUUGGCCCAAGCCACAUAUACCAAUAUCUCAGUUUGCUGGGUAUAAUAUGGGAAUUGGCCAAAUCGUAUAUGCCAACUCCCUGGUUGCCAAUUAUAAUAUAGUAAUUGUCCCAAGCCACACAUUCCAAUACUUCAGUUUGCUGGGUAUAAUAUGUGAAUCUGCCCAAAUCGUAUGUGUCAACACCCCAUUAGCUGAGUAUAAUACAACAAUUGGCCCCAGACAUGGCCGACAUCCUGGUUGCUGAGUACAAACCUAUAUCAUCCCAAUCCUUCAUUGGACACCCAAGACCCACACUUUGAAAACCACUGCUUUAAGCCUUUAAUACAGAAAAUAGCGGUACGCAUGAUCUGUACAGACUGCAGGGGGCGCUGGAGCGGUACAUGAAGGCUACUCUACUAGCUACUAGCGUCAGAUUGCAGCUACUGCCUCAUUUAA
rnacentral:lncRNA from 1 species